ensembl:lncRNA
CGCAAUUUGGCGUGUCUGAACCCCAGCGAAACAAGUUCACGUGUUCAUUUCGGAAAAACUACCAAAAAGGCUUUUUUGCCAAAGCUUUACCAUUGAAGUUUGGGUUUCAUCGUCAUAACAAAGUAAUUUUUCAAAGUCGUAAUGAGGAGAACCAAGUUACAAGGCUAGUUUUGAAAGACCUGCCUGAAAACUGAAUAAGCCUAAUCAUCUACUCUGCUGACAUUGAUGCAGAUGCUGACUACUACUAAGGAAAAGAGCCCUGCCAUUGCCCCACCUGAGCGCAUUUGUCAUCCCGACGAUAUGCUUUCUGAGUCCCGGCCUCAGCCUCCCGCUCCAACGCUGAUGGAAAACUUGCAGCAAAAACGCAAAAAGGUCAUUAUCAUCGUUCCAGUGGUUUGCCUCUGCAGGUUGAUGAAACAGAUACAACGCUUGUGAGUACUUCAUUAUUCAUUUGAAUCCAUAAAUGCAAUUAAUUAAGCUUAAGUGUGCAAUAAAUCUGAUUAGCCAGUCGGUUCCCAGAACACCAUAAAAUCCACACAGGUCUUAUUCCCUUUAAUUAAUUUGUGGAGAGGGAGGGGGCAAAUACCCAUGCAUACGUUAAUGUAUGCACACAAACACACACACAGUGCUUGACUAUGACUGAAAUAGGUCCCAGUACUCAUUUUGGGUGCCGGUACAGUUUAUAUUUAGGUACAGGUGCUCCACAAUAAUAUUCUAUAACAGGAACAAGAGCUCUAGCAGUACUCUGCUCCAGUGAGCUCCUACCCAAGUCAAGCACUGUACACACACACACUCUCUGUAACGGCGUUCGUCUGUUGAAGGAGAGUCGGACCAAAAUGCAGCGUGGUGGUUACUCGUGUCUUUUAAUGAAGAAUAGCGAUACAUGAAAUAACUAUAUAUAAACAAAACAACAAACGGAACGCGAAAACCUAUUACAGCCUAUCUGGUGAAACUACACAGAGACAGGAACAAUCACCCACAAAAUACACAGAGAAACCCUGGCUACCUAAAUAUGGUUCCCAAUCAGAGACAACGAGAAUCACCUGACUGAUUGAGAACUGCCUCGGGCAGCCAAGCCUAUGCUAGACACACCCCUAAUCAGCCACAAUCCCAAUGCCUACAAAAACCCCAAUACGACAACACAAUAAACCCAUGUCACACCCUGGCCUGAACAAAUAAUUAAAGAAAACACAAAAUACUAAGACCAAGGCGUGACACUCUCACACACACAAACAGAACGGUAUACACACACUCACAUGUAUACACACACACACACAUGUACACACACACGCACACAAUAUGCAAAGAGCUAUUCAUUGGGGAUGAAAGAUAAACUGGGAUUAAUGUAUGCUAAUAUUAAGGGGCACCACGAACAACAAAAUAUGCAAGGUCAUCAGUAAACCUGAAGUGUAAUUAAUAGAUGGAAUUAGCAACGAAAACAAUAGGGCACUUCAACUGCUUAUUGAUAAAAAAUGACACGUUGGAAAGGAGAAUAGAAAUGGGCUUAUUAAAUGUGUUGACAGCAGUUGUCCCAAAAAUAAAGCUUGAAAAGAGUUUUUAAUGAUGCUGUGCGUUGGAUGAACCUUCCUUUCCUCUCUUUUGCCACUCUUUCCAUUACUCCCGUCUAUGCUGUUUGUAUGAUCCUUCAUUAUUUCUGAACACACUCCCUCUCUCUUCCUCCCUCCUUUCCUCUUCCACUCCUCCUUCCUUCUCCUCCCUCUCCCUGGCCAGUACUCUCUGGGGAAAUUACCACAGCUCAGAAACGCUGUCCUACUGCACCACACUGCUCCACUCUCCCCUCGGCCCAUAUAACACACCACCAGCACUACAAUACACACACACACCCCUCCCUCAGUCGAUACAGUCCCCUAGGCCUGCUGCUGUAACCGGCUAUUCUGUAGAAGCUCUGCUUGUUGUUGUCCCCUGUAUAGAAAUUGAAUCAGUCACCCUGUGGCCAAGGUCCACUAUGCACUGCACAGGUGAACAGGCUCUGCCUCUCUCUCUCUCUCGCUCUCUAUUCCAGAUUCUAUUCCUCUCACUCACUUUCACAUAUUUUAUUGGCCUUGCCCUCUGUUCUCUGGGUAAUUCACUGUAAUCUUUAUAAGGCCUAUAAUAAAAAAGGAUCUGUCCACCUGAUAUGUAUGGCAAUAUGCUUUCUAAAGUCCCUCUUCUCACAUUACAAUGGUAUGGCCCUCAGAGAAGAUGACUGUAUAGGUUAUAUGACAGCCCUACCACUACUACAGUAAAUGACUAGUUUCACGGUUUCUACAAAGCAUUACAUGGGCUUGCUCCUACCUAUCUCUCUGAUUUGGUCCUGCCGUACAUACCUACACGUACGCUACGGUCACAAGACGCAGGCCUCCUAAUUGUCCUUAGAAUAUCUAAGCAAACAGUUGGAGGCAGGGCUUUCUCCUAUAGAGCUCCAUUUUUAUGGGAUGGUCUGCCUACCCAUGUGAGAGAUGCAAACUCGGUCUCAACCUUUAAGUCUUCACUGAAGACUCAUCUCUUCAGUGGGUCAUAUGAUUGAGUGUAGUCUGGCCCAGGAGUGGGAAGGUGAACGGAAAGGCUCUGGAGCAAAGAAACGCCCUUACUGUCUCUGCCUGGCCGGUUCCCCUCUUUCCACUGGGAUUCUCUGCCUCUAACCCUAUUACAGGGGCUGAGUCACUGGCUUACUAGGGCUCUUUCCUACCGUCCCUAGGAGGGGUGCGUCACUUGAGUGGGUUGAGUCACUGAUGUGAUCUUCCUGUCUGGGUUGGCGCCCCCCCUUGGCUUGUGCCGUGGCGGAGAUCUUUGUGGGCUAUACUCGGCCUUGUCUCAGGAUGGUAAGUUGGUGGUUGAAGAUAUCCCUCUAGUGGUGUGGGGGCUGUGCUUUGGCAAAGUGGGUGGGGUUAUAUCCUUCCUGUUUGGCCCUGUCCGGGGGUGUCCUCGGAUGGGGCCACAGUGUCUCCUGACCCCUUCUGUCUCAGCCUCCAGUAUUUAUGCUGCAGUAGUUUGUGUCGGGGGGCUAGGGUCAGUUUUGUUAUAUCUGGAGUACUUCUCCUGUCCUAUCCGGUGUCCUGUGGGAAUUUAAGUAUGCCCUCUCUAAUUCUCUCUUUUCUCUCUUUCUUUCUCUCUCUCGGAGGAUCUGAGCCCUAGGACCAUGCCUCAAGACUACCUGCCAUGAUGACUCCUUGCUGUCCCCAGUCCACCUGGCCGUGCUGCUGCUCCAGUUUCAACUGUUCUGCCUGUGAUUAUUAUUAUUUGACCAUGCUGGUCAUUUAUGAACAUUUGAACAUCUUGGCCAUGUUCUGUUAUAAUCUCCACCCGGCACAGCCAGAAGAGGACUGGCCACCCCACAUAGCCUGGUUCCUCUCUAGGUUUCUUCCUAGGUUUUGGCCUUUCUAGGGAGUUUUUCCUGUAGAAGCCACCGUACUUCUACACCUGCGUUGCUUGCUGUUUGGGGUUUUAGGCUGGGUUUCUGUACAGCACUUUGAGAUAUCAGCUGAUGUACGAAGGGCUAUAUAAAUAAAAAAUAAAAAUAUUUGGAUUGCUAAAUGAAUCUUAUACCUGUAGCAGCAUGGAAUGAUGAUAUGAUUUGUAUUAUUGGUGCGUGGAACUUUGAUAGUCACCUCUCUAUUCAGUAGGGUGAAAAGCGCAGAGUUGGGGACACUCAGGCUCUAGUUUGGUUGUUGUCUCUUGAUACUCCCAUGUCAGACUGAUCAUCGCUGUAGCAUUUAGCAUACGUCAAGUCAUGCCUUUGGAAAUGUCACUUUGAACGGAGCGGCAGCCACCGUCUGUAUUUUGAUUACUCCGAGGCGUAAUCUCCAGACUGGAGGAUUCAGGAUUCAUGAUCAAUACCAAAAACCUGGCCUAUCAUCUAUCAUCCUGCACCAGACAGGGAACCAGUGAUGGGUUCCUUGUCUAUUGCAUAUAGUGCAUUAGUUACAAUUUUCUUUACAUUAUUUUUUAUUUUAUUUAACCUUUAUUUAAGUAGUAUUUAAAGUAGUGCACUAAGGGAAUAGGGUGCCAUUUUCAGACGUAAUGACAAGGGAGGGAGUGUAAACAAAGAUUCACUUUUUGGCUCGUCGUUCAGUGAAUUGUUUGGCUUUUCACCCGG